GAUUCUGCUUGUCAUCGUGCUCUAGAAAUCACGUUGCAGCCGAGUUGUUUUGAAUCUUUGGUUUAUUCCUCUGAUUGUUACAAAAUUAUUCAGUUAUAGUAUUUAUAUAGGUGGUGGUAUAUAUUUGUGUUUACGUGAAGGCGUCUGCUCGCUCCAAGAGAUUCCUCUCCAAGAAAAAGGUUAAUGGAUGGCGUGACUUUUGCGAGUCUCUUGCUCCCCGGUCUCCUGCUUCUUUGGUGUGGAAACGUAUUAAAUCAUUCAGAAGGUGCGAUGAAGUCGUCCCCUACAAAUGCGCUCCAAGUGGAAUGUGUGGAACCUCCACUCCAAUUACGUAGACAGUAUCUCUCGGAUAGGUAAUACUUAAUCUAGGGAUAGUCAAGAACUCGCAGGGUGCUGAUAAGGAGCUUAAUAGCUUAGUGGAAAAAAACUGGAAGGAUUGGCUUCAACUCUAUACCGAUGCCUCUAAAUUAUCUGAUACAAGUCACGUAGGAGCUGCUGUUUGGAUCCCUAAAUUUAAUAUCAUCCUAAAUUAUAAAUGCCCGGCUAGCUGCUCCAUUUUCACAGUCACAGCGGUAUUCGUGGCAACGAGAACGCCGACCUAUGUGCUAAAGAAGCUGCCCGCUUGGGUACUGAGAUCUACAACAAGACUUUCUCCAGAGAUAUCCGGGCUCUCGCUAAAUCACAUCUAUUCAAAUCUUGGGAUGAGCUUUGGCAAACAUCUAAGCAAGCAAAAGGGAACUUCUGGACUACAUCAUUGGACUUCCCACCGAACAGUCUUCAAUAUAAUUUAAAUGUACCUACCGACUAUUUUUUUUUAAUUGUUUUUUAAUUUUUUUUUAUUUUUUUUCUUCGGUACCUUGACGUUGGCAGAAUCAUCGUUUCUAAACGAUGCAGCCAUAAACUUUAAAAAGUGAAGUGA
rnacentral:misc_RNA from 1 species